ACAGAAUACUUUUUUCAGUAGGGGAGAUCAAGAUAAGAGCGAAAAAGAAUGACCCGACGCCAGUGCUAGGCGUCGCUGACGUCGCGGCAGACUAAUGACGGGAAUUUAACAUGUUCCGAAUUGACAGACAGCUUAUCUUCGAUGACGUGAAAAAGGAUUUGUGAAUAUGCGAUAUGAACGUUCACUUCACUAUAGUCUAUGAAGGAAGCUGUAUUCACCAAUGUGCCAAACAUAAAAUCUACCAAAGUCCAUGAAACACGGCUAUUUGUGAAAAAAUAGAAUGCCUUCUAUUGUAAAGGAAAAGCCAAUGAAGUCAGACUGAUACGGCUACAGCUUUCGAAGUGUAUAAAGGCAAUAUAUUAUGGCUUAAACGUACAUCAUACAGCAUACCGAAGAAGCAUGGCGGCAGGGAUGGCUACUGCUAUCAAUGGAUUCCGAAAAACCGAAAUAUGGCCAGUCGAUAGAAAUGUAUUCAGUGAAGUCGAUUUUGCUCUUGCGGAUGUCCUAAUUGUACAGAAAAGUAGACAAGCAGAUGAAGAUUUGCCAUAGUAUGAAAAAGACAACAAUAUCCUGUUAAUCGAAUUUCUUAAAAAGAAUACAUGAAAUUAGAAUCAGAACCAUCUACAUCAGCAACGCCGAACUCUGGAUUAGGACUCCGGUCAUCCUUAAAGAUAGACACAGAUGUAGAAAUACCAGCACUAAGAAGCAGUUCCAGAAACACAAACAUCAACAUCAAAAUGUGGAUCCCACUCAUCUUCAAAUAUAAUUUCUCUCAAUAGUAUUGAAGAAAUUCUAGGUUACCCCCAAAUUGAUCGGGAUAAAAUUAAACAGACUCGUACUCAAAAGGUUGCUGUUAUCACAAUUAGUCCAUAUAAAGAGGAGUUAGAAGCUAUACAAAUAAAAAAAGCAAACAAAAAAUACGCGAGCGAGUGGUAUUAGCUUCAGGAGCAGUCGUGAUAUACAUGAUAUAUAUGAUGUGAUAUAUGAUGUACUGCCUUAAAUGUCGUGAAUGGGUUCAUGAAUCAUGUGCGCUAAUGCGCAAUCAAAAGACAUAUUUAUGUGUGACUUUUGUAUACCUAACUAAAUAUCUUUUACGUUUUUAAAAUGUCUCGCCAAUGUAUUUUUCUUCGUUAGUUGCUUAAUUUUGAGACUUAUAAUUUAAGAUACCGAUACUUGCUGGUCCAAUAUAGGUAACCUUCCCCUAUAUUAAAUACAAAUAUUGAGGGACUACUUCUUAAUUAUAUCCGAAUUCUAGAAACCAAAAAUUUUCAUCCACCUUUAUACUGAGCCAGGAAAAGAUGUAGUGAACGAACCAUGCUUGCAA